CCUACGGGGGGCUGCAGUGGGGAAUAUUGGACAAUGGGGGCAACCCUGAUCCAGCCAUGCCGCGUGUGUGAAGAAGGCCCUCGGGUUGUAAAGCACUUUCAGUGAGGAAGAACACCUGGUGGUUAAUACCCAUCAGGAAAGACAUCACUCACAGAAGAAGCACCGGCUAACUCCGUGCCAGCAGCCGCGGUAAUACGGAGGGUGCGAGCGUUAAUCGGAAUUACUGGGCGUAAAGCGCGCGUAGGUGGCUUGAUAAGCCGGUUGUGAAAGCCCCGGGCUCAACCUGGGAACGGCAUCCGGAACUGUCAAGCUAGAGUGCAGGAGAGGAAGGUAGAAUUCCCGGUGUAGCGGUGAAAUGCGUAGAGAUCGGGAGGAAUACCAGUGGCGAAGGCGGCCUUCUGGACUGACACUGACACUGAGGUGCGAAAGCGUGGGUAGCAAACAGGAUUAGAUACCCGGGUAGUC
rnacentral:rRNA from 1 species